UACAGAGGGUGCAAGCGUUAAUCGGAGUUACUGGGCGUAAGGGCGCGUAGGCGGUGAGUUGUGAGUGAUGUGAAAGCCCUGGGCUUAACCUAGGAAGGGCAUCGCUAACUAUCUGACUGGAGUAUAAGAGAGGGUGGCGGAAUUUCCGGUGUAGCGGUGAAAUGCGUAGAGAUCGGAAGGAACGUCGAUGGCGAAGGCAGCCACCUGGCUUAAUACUGACGCUGAGGCGCGAAAGCGUGGGUAGCGAACAGG
rnacentral:rRNA from 1 species